GGAGGAGGAGGAUGAUGGCGGCGAGGCCGAGGAAGAGGAAGAAGAGGGUGGUUAUCAGGAUCAUGAUUAUGGCCUUCAGGAGGAGGGAGAGCAGCUUCGGGUUCUGCUUCGGCGGCGGCGGCGAAGGCAAAGAGCCGCCGCCGUGCCGGUGGCCGGAGGCGGGUCCGCCGCCGUGGAGGGCGCCAUGGUGGGGCGGCAUGUAAGGAGGCCGGAAUGAUGGAAGGGUAAGGUAGAGAGAGAAAGUUGCCGUUUCGAUAAAGAGAUAUUUUUCGGCU
rnacentral:lncRNA from 1 species